rnacentral:tRNA from 1 species
GCGAAUGUCGUAUAGUGGCCAUUACUUAUGCUUGCCAAGCAUAAGACGGGGGUUCGAUUCCCCUCAUUCGCUCCA